CCUACGGGAGGCUGCAGUGGGGAAUAUUGCGCAAUGGGCGAAAGCCUGACGCAGCGACGCCGCGUGAGGGAUGAAGGUCUUCGGAUCGUAAACCUCUGUCAGCAGGGAAGAACGGUCACUGUGCUAAUCAGCAGUGAAUUGACGGUACCUGCAAAGGAAGCACCGGCUAACUCCGUGCCAGCAGCCGCGGUAAUACGGAGGGUGCGAGCGUUAAGCGGAAUUACUGGGCGUAAAGCGUUCGUAGGCGGUAUGUCAAGUCAAGGGGGAAAUCCCCGCGCUCAACGUGGGAACUGCCUUUGAAACUGGCAAACUGGAGUGUGUGAGAGGAUAGUGGAAUUCCAGGUGUAGGAGUGAAAUCCGUAGAUAUCUGGAGGAACAUCAGUGGCGAAGGCGACUAUCUGGCACAUAACUGACGCUGAGGAGCGAAAGCGUGGGUAGCAAACAGGAUUAGAUACCCGGGUAGUC
rnacentral:rRNA from 1 species